GACGAACGCUGGCGGCGUGCUUAACACAUGCAAGUCGAACGAAGUGGCGAACGGGUGAGUAACGCGUAAUCAACCUGCCCUUCAGAGGGGGACAACAGUUGGAAACGACUGCUCAUACCGCAUACUGAAGGAGGGGAUUGCGUCUGAUUAGCUGGUGGGGGGGGUAACGGCCCACCAAGGCGAUGAUCAGUAGCAGGGCGGAGGGAAUGAACGGCACUAUUGGGACUGAGAAACGGCCCAGACUCCGACGGGAGGCAGCAGUGGGGAAUCUUCCGCAAGGGACGAAAGUCGGACGGGGCAACGCCGCGUGAGUGAUGACGGCCUUCGGGUUGUAAAGCUCUGUUAAUCGGGACGCGGUACCGGAAUAGAAAGCCACGGCUAACUACGUGCCAGCAGCCGCGGUAAUAC
rnacentral:rRNA from 1 species